UACGUAGGGUGCGAGCGUUAAUCGGAAUUACUGGGCGUAAAAGCGUGCGCAGGCGGUUUUUGUAAGACAGGCGUGAAAUCCCCCGAGCUCAACUUGGGGAAUUGCGCUUGUGACUGCAAGGCUAGAGUGUGUCAGAGGGGGGGUAGAAUUCCACGUGUAGCAGUGAAAUGCGUAGAGAUGUGGAGGAAUACCGAUGGCGAAGGCAGCCCCCCUGGGACAUGACUGACGCUCAUGCACGAAAGCGUGGGGGAGCAAACAGG
rnacentral:rRNA from 1 species